AUUGAACGCUGGCGGCAUGCCUUACACAUGCAAGUCGAACGGUAACAGGUCUUCGGAUGCUGACGAGUGGCGAACGGGUGAGUAAUAUAUCGGAACGUGCCCAGUCGUGGGGGAUAACGCAGCGAAAGCUGUGCUAAUACCGCAUACGAUCUAUGGAUGAAAGCGGGGGAUCGCAAGACCUCGCGCGAUUGGAGCGGCCGAUAUCAGAUUAGGUAGUUGGUGGGGUAAAGGCCCACCAAGCCAACGAUCUGUAGCUGGUCUGAGAGGACGACCAGCCACACUGGAACUGAGACACGGUCCAGACUCCUACGGGAGGCAGCAGUGGGGAAUUUUGGACAAUGGGCGCAAGCCUGAUCCAGCAAUGCCGCGUGCAGGAUGAAGGCCUUCGGGUUGUAACUAGCUUUUGUACGGAACGAAAAGGACUCUGGUUAAUACCUGGGCUCAUGACGGUACCGUAAGAACUAAGACACCGGCUAACUACGUGCC
rnacentral:rRNA from 1 species